ACUCGAACCCAGGACCUUCUUGCUCAAGAAGACUUUGACAUAGGGGUCUGAGGUGCCCCCCAUGUCCAUGGCAGCAAGAUCCUGAGCCUGGAGGAUGCCCACUAUGAGCUGUUUAAAGAGGGAAAACAGAGCUUUAGGAGGAGAAGAUGGAGGCUCAGAUAUUACAUAACAACAACAGCAGAAGUUCUGUCUGCAUUUCUUGAAGACACAGAAGAUGAAGCAUCCCACCAGAGUCAGUACCACCACAACGAUGGCCCCCACCGCCCACAUGGGGACUGGGAGAGAGAAAAGGCCAAGGU